rnacentral:rRNA from 1 species
GAUGAGUAGGGCGGGACACGUGGUAUCCUGUCUGAAUAUGGGGGGACCAUCCUCCAAGGCUAAAUACUCCUGACUGACCGAUAGUGAACCAGUACCGUGAGGGAAAGGCGAAAAGAACCCCGGCGAGGGGAGUGAAAAAGAACCUGAAACCGUGUACGUACAAGCAGUGGGAGCACGCUUAGGCGUGUGACUGCGUACCUUUUGUAUAAUGGGUCAGCGACUUAUAUUCUGUAGCAAGGUUAACCGAAUAGGGGAGCCGAAGGAAAACCGAGUCUUAACUGGGCGUUAAGUUGCAGGGUAUAGACCCGAAACCCGGUGAUCUAGCCAUGGGCAGGUUGAAGGUUGGGUAACACUAACUGGAGGACCGAACCGACUAAUGUUGAAAAAUUAGCGGAUGACUUGUGGCUGGGGGUGAAAGGCCAAUCAAACCGGGAGAUAGCUGGUUCUCCCCGAAAGCUAUUUAGGUAGCGCCUCGUGAAUUCAUCUCCGGGGGUAGAGCACUGUUUCGGCAAGGGGGUCAUCCCGACUUACCAACCCGAUGCAAACUGCGAAUACCGGAGAAUGUUAUCACGGGAGACACACGGCGGGUGCUAACGUCCGUCGUGAAGAKGGAAACAACCCAGACCGCCAGCUAAGGUCCCAAAGUCAUGGUUAAGUGGGAAACGAUGUGGGAAGGCCCAGACAGCCAGGAUGUUGGCUUAGAAGCAGCCAUCAUUUAAAGAAAGCGUAAUAGCUCACUGGUCGAGUCGGCCUGCGCGGAAGAUGUAACGGGGCUAAACCAUGCACCGAAGCUGCGGCAGCGACGCUGAUGCGUUGUUGGGUAGGGGAGCGUUCUGUAAGCCUGUGAAGGUGUGCUGUGAGGCAUGCUGGAGGUAUCAGAAGUGCGAAUGCUGACAUAAGUAACGAUAAAGCGGGUGAAAAGCCCGCUCGCCGGAAGACCAAGGGUUCCUGUCCAACGUUAAUCGGGGCAGGGUGAGUCGACCCCUAAGGCGAGGCCGAAAGGCGUAGUCGAUGGGAAACAGGUUAAUAUUCCUGUACUUGGUGUUACUGCGAAGGGGGGACGGAGAAGGCUAUGUUGGCCGGGCGACGGUUGUCCCGGUUUAAGCGUGUAGGCUGGUUUUCCAGGCAAAUCCGGAAAAUCAAGGCUGAGGCGUGAUGACGAGGCACUACGGUGCUGAAGCAACAAAUGCCCUGCUUCCAGGAAAAGCCUCUAAGCAUCAGGUAACAUCAAAUCGUACCCCAAACCGACACAGGUGGUCAGGUAGAGAAUACCAAGGCGCUUGAGAGAACUCGGGUGAAGGAACUAGGCAAAAUGGUGCCGUAACUUCGGGAGAAGGCACGCUGAUAUGUAGGUGAAGCGACUUGCUCGUGGAGCUGAAAUCAGUCGAAGAUACCAGCUGGCUGCAACUGUUUAUUAAAAACACAGCACUGUGCAAACACGAAAGUGGACGUAUACGGUGUGACGCCUGCCCGGUGCCGGAAGGUUAAUUGAUGGGGUUAGCGCAAGCGAAGCUCUUGAUCGAAGCCCCGGUAAACGGCGGCCGUAACUAUAACGGUCCUAAGGUAGCGAAAUUCCUUGUCGGGUAAGUUCCGACCUGCACGAAUGGCGUAAUGAUGGCCAGGCUGUCUCCACCCGAGACUCAGUGAAAUUGAACUCGCUGUGAAGAUGCAGUGUACCCGCGGCAAGACGGAAAGACCCCGUGAACCUUUACUAUAGCUUGACACUGAACAUUGAGCCUUGAUGUGUAGGAUAGGUGGGAGGCUUUGAAGUGUGGACGCCAGUCUGCAUGGAGCCGACCUUGAAAUACCACCCUUUAAUGUUUGAUGUUCUAACGUGGACCCGUAAUCCGGGUUGCGGACAGUGUCUGGUGGGUAGUUUGACUGGGGCGGUCUCCUCCUAAAGAGUAACGGAGGAGCACGAAGGUUGGCUAAUCCUGGUCGGACAUCAGGAGGUUAGUGCAAUGGCAUAAGCCAGCUUGACUGCGAGCGUGACGGCGCGAGCAGGUGCGAAAGCAGGUCAUAGUGAUCCGGUGGUUCUGAAUGGAAGGGCCAUCGCUCAACGGAUAAAAGGUACUCCGGGGAUAACAGGCUGAUACCGCCCAAGAGUUCAUAUCGACGGCGGUGUUUGGCACCUCGAUGUCGGCUCAUCACAUCCUGGGGCUGAAGUAGGUCCCAAGGGUAUGGCUGUUCGCCAUUUAAAGUGGUACGCGAGCUGGGUUUAGAACGUCGUGAGACAGUUCGGUCCCUAUCUGCCGUGGGCGCUGGAGAAUUGAGGGGGGCUGCUCCUAGUACGAGAGGACCGGAGUGGACGCAUCACUGGUGUUCGGGUUGUCAUGCCAAUGGCACUGCCCGGUAGCUAAAUGCGGAAGAGAUAAGUGCUGAAAGCAUCUAAGCACGAAACUUGCCCCGAGAUGAGUUCUCCCUGACUCCUUGAGAGUCCUGAAGGAACGUUGAAGACGACGACGUUGAUAGGCCGGGUGUGUAAGCGCAGCGAUGCGUUGAGCUAACCGGUACUAAUGAACCGUGAGGCUUAACCUUACAACGCCGAAGGUGUUU